AACUACGGCCAUAUCACGAUGAAUGCAUCUCAUCCCGUCCGAUUUGAGAAGCAUCGUCGAGCCACAUCAGUACUGAGGUUGGAGACAACUUGGGAACCUGUGGUGCUGUAGUCU
rnacentral:rRNA from 1 species